AGAGUUUGAUCCUGGCUCAGAACGAACGCUGGCGGCGUGGCUAACCCAUGCAAGUCGUGCGCGAACGUUCCCUUCGGGGAGCCAGUAGCGCGGCGGAAGGGUGAGUAAUGCAUGGGCAACGUACCCUGGGCACGAAGACAGCCCGCCGAAAGGCGGGGUAAUACUCGAUGAGACCACACGGGGGCAUCCCCGAGCGGUCAAAGGGUGGGGCCCCCUUCGGGGGCCUGCCGGCCCGGGAGCGACCCAUAUCCCAUCAGCUUGUUGGUAGGGUAACGGCCUACCAAGGCAACGACGGGUAGCCGGACUGAGAGGUCGAUCGGCCACAUUGGGACUGAGACACUGCCCAGACUCCUACGGGAGGCUGCAGGGACGAAUAUUAGGCAAUGGGCGCAAGCCUGACCUAGCGACGCCGCGUGCGGGAGGAAGCCCUUCGGGGUGUAAACCACUGUCAGGGGCCACCAAGCAAAUCCGCCUAAUACGCGGAGGCGUUGAGGAACCCCAAAGGAAGCCACGGCUAACUCCGUGCCAGCAGCCGCGGUAAGACGGAGGUGGCAAGCGUUGUUCGGAAUUACUGGGCUUAAAGGGCACGUAGGCGGCCUGUCAAGCGUCCUGUGAAAUCCCUCGGCUCAACCGAGGAACUGCUCGGCGAACUGGCAGGCUUGAGGCAGGUAGGGGCGCGUGGAACUCUUGGUGGAGCGGUGAAAUGCGUAGAUAUCAAGAGGAACGCCAGUGGCGAAAGCGACACGCUGGGCCUGUCCUGACGCUGAGGUGCGAAAGCCAGGGGAGCGAACGGGAUUAGAUACCCCGGUAGUCCUGGCCGUAAACGAUGUCCACUAGGUUGGGGAUCUCUUGACAGGUUCCCGGCCGAAGCAAAAGCGUUAAGUGGACCGCCUGGGGAGUACGGUCGCAAGGCUAAAACUCAAAGGAAUUGACGGGGGCUCACACAAGCGGUGGAGCAUGUUGCUUAAUUCGAUGCAACGCGAAGAACCUUAUCCUGGGCUUGAAACGCACGGAUACGGCACCUGAAAGGGAUGUCCGUUGCCCUUCGGGGUGAAACGUGUACAGGUGCUGCAUGGCUGUCGUCAGCUCGUGUCGUGAGAUGUUGGGUUAAGUCCCGUAACGAGCGAAACCCCUGUCGUUAGUUGCCAGCGGGUAAUGCCGGGGACUCUAGCGAGACUGCCGGUGUCAAACCGGAGGAAGGUGGGGAUGACGUCAAGUCCUCAUGGCCUUUAUGCCCAGGGCUGCAAACGUGCUACAAUGGCCGGGACAAUACGAUGCAAGACCGCGAGGUGGAGCAAAUCGCCAAAACCGGCCCCAGUUCGGAUUGCAGUCUGCAACUCGACUGCAUGAAGUCGGAAUCGCUAGUAAUCGCAGAUCAGCUAUGCUGCGGUGAAUACGUUCCUGAGCCUUGUACACACCGCCCGU
rnacentral:rRNA from 1 species